UCAGAUCUCCGUGGUUUCUUACGGUAAAGAGAAACCUGCCGUUCUGGGUCAUGACGAAGCUGCAUGGUCCAAAAACCGUCGUGCCGUUCUGGUAUACUAAGAGAAUCGCAUGAGCAGUAACUUCAGACAUCACCUGUUG
rnacentral:sRNA from 1 species